GCCCGCCUCAGCCUCCCAAAGUGUUGGGAUUACAGGCAUGUAAUCCCGUGCCUGGCCAGCAAAAUAUUUUUAAAAACCAUUGCUCCAGCUCCCACGAGACAAUUCUGUAAUACACAAUACAAAAGAAAGUAACAGAGGGCAUGAUAUUAGAGAGGGUAUUUAUUUUACAAAAUUUCUUUUUCAGUUAUAUAGAUAUAUACGUGUAUGUAUGUAUUGAGUCACUAUAUGAAAUGUACUUCUUAUUGUGGGUGGUAGCCCAAAAGUUUGAAAACCACUGACUUGCUCUCUACCUGUGGCCUGAAAUGUUACAGAACAGUACGAUUGUCUAAACUGCAGCCAGGAAUGUGAGGAGAAGAAGGAGAGUCCUUAAUAACCUCCGCAACUAGAGCUAUGUAGGCAGGCAAUAUAUCUGUAGAGUGAUUCCUGGGCUUCCUGGCAAGCAGUGAAGUGCUUGUCUACAGGACUGCUUGCAGAGCCAAGGCAGACAACAGAGCUGGCCAAGCCAGGGUAUGUAUCUUUCCAGCCUGUUUCCAUGGCCAACUCCUCAAGGUAUCUAAUUAAAGGCCACGCAGACACAGGAGACAAGAGCCUUUGGAGAAAGAGGAGCUUGAAGAGGUUAAACAUUUUGAACUGCUUGCUACCUUCGGCUUUGGCCUAAAGGAACCCUGAGGGAUGCUUUGCAAAGAACCUGGCCUCCGGAAUCAAAAGUACAGAGACAAUCUACUGGAAUGUGUGGCUGCUUUAGUAUUUGGAGAAUAAUAAUAAGAAAAGCCAGAUGUCUUUAAAAAGCAGGUUUGCGGCCACAUGUGCAGGUUUGUUACCUAGGUGAACUCGUGUCACGGGGAUUUGUUGUACAGAAUUAUUUCAUCACUCAGGUAUUAAGCCCAGCACCCAGUAGUUACCUUUUCUGAGCCUCUCCCUCCUCCCACCCUCCACCCCCAAGUAGUUCCCAGUGUCUUUGUUGUUCCAUUCUUCAUGUGUUCUCAUCCUUUAGCUCCCAUUUAUAAGUGAGAAUAUGUGGUGUUUGGUUUUCUGUUCCUGCAUUAGCUUGCUAAGAAUAGCCUCCAACUCCAUCUAUGUUCCUGCAAAGGACAUGAUCUCAUUCUUUUUUAUGGCUGCAUAGCAUUCCAUGGUGUAUCUAUAACACUUCUUCUUUAUCCAGUCUAUCAUUGAUGGGUAUUUAGGUUGAUUCCAUGUCUUUGCUAUUGUGAAUAGUGUUGCAAUGAACAUUCGCAUCGCAGGGAAGCCUUCAGAAUUAGGGAAGGUGGUCAAGAAUGGGCUCUGACCCUUUGUUCAUCUCUUUUGGAGAGAAUAAGACUUUUCCUUAAACCCAGAGGAAUAAUCUGAAAAAUUUAAAUGACCAUGGCCAAGAAUUUCAUCAUGUAAUACCAUCUAGUUUCUUUAAGAACUUGUAUCAGUGAAAGUCCAAUCAGGACACAGAAAUCACAUAGUAAUUUGAAGAAAGAAUUAGA
rnacentral:lncRNA from 1 species